UGUAAUAACCUGUUUUAACAACUCUAGUGGAUUUACUGUUAAUAAAGGAAAAAGGGUGGCAGACAACUUUCUGAUUUUAGGGAGUAAAGCUCGGAGAUGUGUUUAUUUUUCCUGUUUAUGCAUAAUUGAUGAGAGCUAACAAGCAGACUAGCAUCUCUCUCACUCACUCUGUUUCACUUCAAAAAAAAAACAGAGCAUUAGUUCUCUAACUCUGUUCUUCCUCCAUCAACCACCUCCAAACGCCGGAUCACUCCAUUUGGCUUCGCCUGAGGCUGCUCUACCUACUGGACGUCGUCUUUUUUUUCCCGGCACAGCCUCAAGGUCCGGCAAACCAGCUCGACCCGGUUGCACCCGAAAACGAACCAACUCAUCCUCCUCGUGUUUCCGGCCACCAAUUCCCCCCAAACUUCAUCCUCGAGCUCGCCUCAACGUCCUGAAGCUCCCAGAAGUAACCUUGCGCGGCGGCACGGCCGGCAGCGACGGCGGCGACCCCGAGUCCGGUUUAGCUCGUUUUCGUUCCAAACUCGAUAUCUCGAACUACAGAGCACCAUUUCACUUGAUUCUUGGCUCAUUGAGCUCGCCUCAUCUUCCUAUACAAGCACCAAGAAGGAUCGGAACUGGAUCGAACGUUUUUACGUUCGUCGGAGCUCGACCCGUGCGGAUCGAACAACCAACCUUCGGAUCAAGAUAUCUCGAGCUAUACACGAUCGUUUCUUGUGAUUCUUGGCUUGUUGAGUUCAUAAGGAAGUUCUGAACAAUUCUCCAGAAGGGAUCGAGGCGUGAGGUUGUAGUUUUCACGUCGAUUUUGGAGCUCGCCGGUUUCUGGAAAAAUUCCGGCCACCGACUGAUUUUUGGUGAUCGACGGUUGGAUUUGGCGGACGAUUCGUGAAAUUGUAUUUUGAGCUGUUAAGAAGACGCAGCGGGAAUUUAGAGCGGGAAAUCCUACAGGUCAGGAGAACCAGGACGGUGAUCGGG